CCAUUCAUCUCUCUUUCUUUGUAGGUUAAAUAUUCAUCUCAUCAAAUUCUUCCAUUCUUGAUUCUUCGACAUUCUUCACACUAGCUAGAUCUGUAUUCCGAUUCAUCUUGAUUAUGCUCAACCUUCUUCGCCUUCAAGCCAAACGUAAACGUCAAUGAUAACAAAAAAACGUUUCUAUAAAUUCUCUCAUCAAUGGGAAACUGUAAUGGCUGUCUAUAGUCACGCAAGGGCGGUUACAGAGUCGAUAACGGAGCUAUCCUUAAUGAUGCUAAAACCCUAACCGAUAAGCAUAAAGGCCAAGAUCAAAGAAUGGAAGAAGCUAAAUCUAAAAUGGAUUCUCCAUCUCUGCCUUAUGUGAACCUCGAUUCUUCUCUCCGAGCUCUCGCCGGUCAAGCUGAAGGUUUCGGCCGCUCUGCCAUCGGCGGUCUUCACGGUCCACUUUAUCACGUUACUACUUUGGAAGACAAGCAUAAUAAUUAUGGAUGGAGACUGCAAUAUAUUUUUCAAGUCAAUAUUGGUGCCAAUUUGAGACAACUCAAUGUUGAGAUAUUGCUUGCCUUGUUCUGGAGGUUGUUGGAGAAAUUUUUUACUACGGUUUCAUCAGGUUUCUACAAGGAUGAUGAGAAGGGUUGACUGUGUUCAUAGGAUUUCUCUCUUUUUCUCUUCAUCUAAGUCAAAACAUGUUUUCCAUGAGCAUCUCAACUUUCUAGUCACAAAAUUCAAGAAUUCCCAAGGCAAAUUUUUAUCUUGAUUUUUCACUCAAGAAGGUAUUUCAUUAGCUGUCCAACUGGAAAGCCUUCGAUCAGAUGAAAGUUUACUUGUCUAACUUCUGGCUGAAUUUCCUUCGCUGCUUGUUCCUCUGUGUAGUGAUAUUCAGGAUGUGCGAGCUGCGGUAUCUUAUAUAAUUCAACCUUCUUUGUUAAAACUAUGAUAGGUGAAAGUGGAAAAUGGAGUCACUUUCUCGGGGAACUGCUAAGCUUAAUGGUUGAAUUUAAAACAUUGUUACUAUCUGAUAAAAAUGUGCUUUUUUCGUUUUUUACAUCUGUUCUGGGCUGCUCACGCAAUAAUCUUCUAUUGUCAGAAACAAUUGGAGAAAGGUCUUUAACUGAUUUUAUAGUACUUUUUUUGUUCAUCUUAUACAUAUUCCAGGCCAUUGUAUGAUCUUUUCCUCUCCAUUAUAGUUUUUGGUACUUUAUGCCUAUACCAUAGAGAGUUGCAUGACUUUACUACAAUAUUUAGUAACCACAUCCCAUUCUUUUCAGGUUUGAAAAAUCUAAAAAGAAUCAGAUCAUGCAUUUCAUUGUUGGCUUUGCUCUAACCUUCCUUCUUUUGCACUGUUAAACAUCCUUUCUUUGGUCAAAGGAGUGGAUGGUCAACUCUUACAUGUAAAAGAUGUUAAAAUAUUGGCUAGCAUUCUUUUGAAAAGGCGCCAUGAAUAUCAUAUUCAACAUGCAGAGUCUUGUCAAAAGUUGUCAAAGACAGAGGUUUAUAUCCUCUGCCUUCUACUAGAAGUAUGUGAAGUUGCAUAGAAUUUAGAGACCUGUACUGAAUUUGUAUCUUCUUCACCUGGUGAAUGUGAAGACCUACUAUUGGAGGUGCUGCAGCAGGGUGAGCCAGCCUCUAAAGAUCCAGCUGUUUUGCUGCCUUUCAUAAUUGUCUUGAGGAGUCUCACUAACUCAUCUUUUGGAGCUAUGAGUAAUAAAAAUCAGUUAUGCUUAAGUCAGAUGAUGAAGUUGAGAAUGUGAUUGCAAAAGUACAGAAUGGAAUGGCUGGAAAAGAUGUGGUUGUAGGUCAAAAGAAAAUUAUUUCAGAGGUUGUUGCUAUGAAGGUGGGAAGACCUGUCUCUCUUUCCAAGUUUGGUACCAACUGUGGAGGCCUUUUAUUUUUUUAUUUUUUUAUUAUUGAUUAUGUUUUGUUUGUAUUUCCAGCUUUCCGAACUUAACUGCAGCUUCAAGCAAUCUGAUUUAGCUAAAAAUCAGUUAGAAAGUUGUAGACAGAUGCAUGUA